UACGGAGGGGGCAAGCGUUAUUCGGAAUUAUUGGGCGUAAAGGGCGCGUAGGCGGCUAGAUGUGUCAAAGGUGAAAUCCCCGGGCUCAACCUGGGAACUGCAUUUGUGACUGCAAGGCUAGAGUACGGUAGAGGGGGAUGGAAUUCCGCGUGUAGCAGUGAAAUGCGUAGAUAUGCGGAGGAACACCGAUGGCGAAGGCAAUCCCCUGGACCUGUACUGACGCUCAUGCACGAAAGCGUGGGGAGCAAACAGG
rnacentral:rRNA from 1 species